GAUGAACGCUGGCGGCGUGCCUAAUACAUGCAAGUCGAGCGAACGGACGAGAAGCUUGCUUUUCUGAUGUUAGCGGCGGACGGGUGAGUAACACGUGGAUAACCUACCUAUAAGACUGGGAUAACUUCGGGAAACCGGAGCUAAUACCGGAUAAUAUUUUGAACCGCAUGGUUCAAAAGUGAAAGACGGUCUUGCUGUCACUUAUAGAUGGAUUCUCGCUUCAUUAGCUAGUUGGUAAGGUAACGGCUUACCAAGGCAACGAUGCAUAGCCGACCUGAGAGGGUGAUCGGCCACACUGGAACUGAGCCACGGUCCAGACUCCUACGGGAGGCAGCAGUAGGGAAUCUUCCGCAAUGGGCGAAAGCCUGACGGAGCAACGCCGCGUGAGUGAUGAAGGUCUUCGGAUCGUAAAACUCUGUUAUUAGGGAAGAACAUAUGUGUAAGUAACUGUGCACAUCUUGACGGUACCUAAUCAGAAAGCCACGGCUAACUACGUG
rnacentral:rRNA from 1 species